AGAGUUUGAUCAUGGCUCAGAUUGAACGCUGGCGGCAGGCCUAACACAUGCAAGUCGAACGGUAACAGGAAGAAGCUUGCUUCUUUGCUGACGAGUGGCGGACGGGUGAGUAAUGUCUGGGAAACUGCCUGAUGGAGGGGGAUAACUACUGGAAACGGUAGCUAAUACCGCAUAACGUCGCAAGACCAAAGAGGGGGACCUUCGGGCCUCUUGCCAUCGGAUGUGCCCAGAUGGGAUUAGCUUGUUGGUGGGGUAACGGCUCACCAAGGCGACGAUCCCUAGCUGGUCUGAGAGGAUGACCAGCCACACUGGAACUGAGACACGGUCCAGACUCCUACGGGAGGCAGCAGUGGGGAAUAUUGCACAAUGGGCGCAAGCCUGGUGCAGCCAUGCCGCGUGUAUGAAGAAGGCCUUCGGGUUGUAAAGUACUUUCAGCGGGGAGGAAGGGAGUAAAGUUAAUACCUUUGCUCAUUGACGUUACCCGCAGAAGAAGCACCGGCUAACUCCGUGCCAGCAGCCGCGGUAAUACGGAGG
rnacentral:rRNA from 1 species